UGGGGAAUGAUUGCACAAUGGGCGAAAGCCUGAUGCAGCAACGCCGCGUGAGUGAUGAAGGCCUUCGGGUUGUAAAGCUCUGUCUUUUGGGACGAUAAUGACGGUACCAAAGGAGGAAGCCACGGCUAACUACGUGCCAGCAGCCGCGGUAAUACGUAGGUGGCAAGCGUUGUCCGGAUUUACUGGGCGUAAAGGAUGCGUAGGCGGAUUUUUAAGUGAGAUGUGAAAUACCCGGGCUUAACUUGGGUGCUGCAUUUCAAACUGGGAAUCUAGAGUGCGGGAGAGGAGAAUGGAAUUCCUAGUGUAGCGGUGAAAUGCGUAGAGAUUAGGAAGAACACCAGUGGCGAAGGCGAUUCUCUGGACCGUAACUGACGCUGAGGCAUGAAAGCGUGGGUAGCAAACAGGAUUAGAUACCCUGGUAGUCCACGCCGUAAACGAUGAGUACUAGGUGUAGGAGGUAUCGACCCCUUCUGUGCCGCAGUUAACACAAUAAGUACUCCGCCUGGGAAGUACGAUCGCAAGAUUAAAAGCUUAAAGGAAUUGACGGGGUCAUAGCUGUUUCCU
rnacentral:rRNA from 1 species